GGACGAACGUUGGCGGCGUGCCUAAUACAUGCAAGUCAACUGAAAUACCGGUAGCAAUACUGGUAUGGAGGUGGCGCACGGGUGAGUAACACGUAGGUAAUCUGCCUUCAGGUCUGACAUAACCCAUCGAAAGGUGAGCUAAUAUCAGAUGAUGCAGCGGCUUGACAUCAAGACAGGUUGUUAAAGCUUCGGCGCCUGAAGAUGAGCCUGCGUCUGAUUAGCUAGUUGGCGGGUAACGG
rnacentral:rRNA from 1 species